UGAAAUAUGUCUAAGAGCAGUAUUUCUUGCAUUUGCCACCACCUCUGUAUCAUUUAUCUGCAGCGAAGCAAACGCAGAACACUGUAUUCAAAAUUAUUCAGAAAAAAGCAACCAAGAUGGUAGGACAGAAGUUCGUCUGUUUCACAUUAAUUUUACUGAUCAUUGGUAGCUGCACCUAUGGAUUGCCACCUCCUCCAUCGAGCACAACCAUUGGGCCUCUGAUUGCAGGCAAUCCAAGAGGUAAACGUGCAGCUGAUGCAGUGGCGACCCCUGAAGAAAGGAAUGAAGCUAUCGCAAGGGCUACGGCUACGGCUACGGCAGUAGGAGGAGCUUCACACGGGCCUAUGGAAUAAUUUUCUAGAUAAAGUGUCUUUAUCUACAUAAUAUAAAUGAAGAAAAAUGGCAUCAGCAGAAUCUUUUCUUACAACUAAAUAAAUUCUUAUUCUUCAUUA